rnacentral:rRNA from 1 species
AUUGAACGCUGGCGGCAGGCCUAACACAUGCAAGUCGAGCGGUAACAGGGGUGCUUGCACCCGCUGACGAGCGGCGGACGGGUGAGUAACGCGUAGGAAUCUACCUAGUAGUGGGGGAUAGCCCGGGGAAACUCGGAUUAAUACCGCAUACGCCUUAAGAGGGAAAGCAGGGGAACUUCGGUCCUUGUGCUAUUAGAUGAGCCUGCGUUGGAUUAGCUAGUUGGUAGGGUAAAGGCCUACCAAGGCGACGAUCCAUAGCUGGUCUGAGAGGAUGAUCAGCCACACUGGAACUGAGACACGGUCCAGACUCCUACGGGAGGCAGCAGUGGGGAAUAUUGGACAAUGGGGGCAACCCUGAUCCAGCCAUGCCGCGCGUGUGAAGAAGGCCUCGGUUGUAAGACACUUAAGUUAGGUAGGAAGGCCGUUGCAGUUAAUACCUGUGAGGAUUGACGUUACCAACAGAAUAAGACACCGGACUAACUACCGU